AUUUCGUGGGCGGGUCGCCCGGACAAUUCGGUACGUGGAGUGACGGAAGUGGAAUAUUUCCGUAAUUUCAACUUCGACCGUUGGGUGAUGGGAAAAUGGAUGCGCGGCUAGAAAACGGAGCUCGGCUAUCCUUCAUGUCUGAAUACUUUUAAUUUUGCGAGAAAUGCAAGAAACCAACAAGAAAAAUAAGAAUGUAGAAAAUGAAUCGUGUAAGGAUUGCGAAGCCACCUUUACAUCCGAUAACGUUACUUUAGAUAAAAGUAGAAAAUCAUCACCAAAACUAAACACUGAA